GAGCCUGCUGGAGGAAAGAAAAUGGAGCUCUUUGGUAAAACAGAAACCCCCCUUUUUCUUUUUUUUUUUUUCUUUUUUUGCUGUUAUCUCUUUUUUCGCAAAUGCAUGUACCAUUAUUUUCCUGUUCUUCACUUUGCAUAGUAAUAGGACCGAUAGAUCUCCCUCAUUGGAUGAAUUUCCAAAAUCAAUUUUCUCUAAUUAUCAUCCAUUCCUUUUUGUUUUCUUCUUUUAUCUCGCUUAACAUCCCCUCUCUACUGUGCAUUUAUUCUCGUUAUCUGAUCCUCCCUGUCUCCAAUGUGUCUCUUUCUCGUUUAACUCUCUGUUAAACUGUUAGCCUUUACCACAGCCUUAAAAAACUCAUCUCUGUUCAUGGGAGUGUUAACGCUCUUCAGCACAUCUCUACGAUGACUAUGACCACUGACUGGGGUGGAAGUAAUGUUUUUUUUUUUUUUUUUUUUGCAGCUGAAAUCAGAAGCAGAUGGAUUCAGGAUGGCUCAAAUUAGCCUCUCUCUCGUGUUCUGCUGUUGCUAAGUAACAGUUGACAGACAGGGGGUGACAGGCCAGUGAUGGCAGCGUUUGAUGGCAAUAUGUCUUUGGCUCAAUGGCUCCGAGCUAACAUUGAAACAGUGCCUCAUUUAAAUCAGAAGGAGAGUGAGAGAGAGAGAGAGCGAGAUUUUUGUAAGAGUCUGUGAGCAAGCAGAUGAGCCAAACCUACCACACACAUAGCCAAAAUUUGUCACUCAUGUCAUAUGUGAGAAUACAAUCAUGUUGCCAUAAGGACAUCUGUUGUGUGCCAAUAAAAUAUGUUGUUUUAAGGGCAUUAACCAAUCAGAAUCCCGCCUUUCCCCUGCAUAAGAUCACAGAUUUGACUAUAUUUUAAAACUGUCAGGCACACAGACCAUCAGGAAAAACAAAAGGGAUAGAAAACUAAACUGAAUAAAGAGGUCAUUUUUUUGUAUCUAUUGUAACUAUUAUGUAUCAUGUUUUUAUUCGUAAAAUUGUUUUAUUUUCCCUAAAGUUGGCAUGAAAAGGAAGUUGUGAGUCUUUUCUUCCCUAUUUUUGAUGUAUAUCUGAGUGAAAAGGCUUCUCAAAGAAAAAAUGUAGGGCAGAAAGAAAUGGUAAAUGGUAGCCUGGUAAACGUCAUCAGAAAAGAGACAAAAUCAAAAAAUAAUAUGUAACAUUUGUAAUAAAUAUUGCAAUAUUCCAUAUUAAAAUAAAUAAUUUUGAUCUCAUGGUGAUUUAGAGCUGUUUGGUUUGUAUAGAAUUAGCAUUUCCCAUGUAAACUGCUAGGACUACACUGGUUUUCAGAUUCGUCACGCAUGUAAACCUGCAUCCUUGUGGUUGUUGUAGUCUUUAUGUAGAAACUUGUCAGCAAAAGCGCAACUGUUUCAAAAUUCAUGUUUGCGGCAAAAUGUUGCCUACUUUAUGUUGUAAGACAAUAAGUCUGUAAGUAAUUAACCUUAUAUUUUACUGUACACUUUUGUUUGCCACUGUAUGUGCAGCUCACUGCAUUCAAGAAGCAUUUUUACUUGACGUUACACAUUACACUUUUCUCCGAAAUGAUAGAUGGCAGUGCAGAGAAAGAGAAAGAAACCGCAGUAAACGUUAGAAUAAUUUUAUGAACUCUGAAUUUGUCAGUCACAAAUUUAACAGCGUAGUUCAAAUCUGACUGCUUUAAUAAUAUUUGCGGUCUGUUUCAAGUAGGCUCACCUGCACAUGCAGUCGCUGUUCGUUUAAUGCCCCAAAAUUUUGAGAUUCGCGGAGUAAUUUGUCAAGUGUGCAGUGACGUAUUGGUUUUUUUUUUUUUUUUUUUCGCGCGGAUCCACAACAACAGGAUCCAUUGAGUAGAAAAUAUAAACGGAUUAGAAGCUGCGAUGAGCAGAAACAGUCCUCAGAACCUACUCAGGCUUUCCAUCUGUAGCACCUGAGGAAGAGGACGGGAACGCCGGGCUGUCAGGAGAGAUGAGCUCAAGCUCUCUGCGGCAGGCUGUCAAAUGCGACACAUCCUCUUCAAGAGCAGACACAAGAGCAAACUUCCGCUACUCCUCUAUCGUUGUCUCUUUCUCUAUCUGUGUCGCUGUUCCUCAAUCUCUAUCUUUCUUUCUCUCUUUGUUUUUCUCCCCUAAUCACAUUGCAGGACAGUAGGUAAGACUUGUGUUUCAUGACCUAUGGAAACAGAAGCAUCCAUCAUUUGUAGGUAAUCAACAUUUUUGAAGGAAGUGACUCACCAAAAACAGCAAUAUGCAUAUAUAGCAAUAUGAAUACAGAUUCAAAUAUAAAUUAAUUACAAACAGAUAUGGAACAGAAACGAAAAAAGACAGUGUUCACAUACUUCAGCUCUCCCGACAUCUCUCUAUUUUCUUUGUUUGUGCUCUCCGCUAUAUUACUGCAGACUAUCAUUUGCAAAGUGUUGUUUGGCAUUUGUGUUUUCUCUAUUGGCUUUGCAUGCUUGGCUAGCUGCGCUCGAACCUCUCAGCAGAAGAGACCUAGGCCUUUUUUAAUAAGGUCCCUCAUGAGAAAUCUUCCUCAUCUGAGCAGGAGCAUGUCUAGAGGGCAGUUAAAGAAGAGAAAUAGAAGAGGUAACAAAUAAAAAGAUGAGGAGAUAUAGACAGAAAAGAGGAGAGACUGAUGAGGGAAGGGGAAGAACGUGAUGCGUGAUUGAGUUUGUGCAUUCUGCCUCUCUUAGAGGUGAGAGCUGCUCUAUCAGGGGACAGGAAAAGGCAUUCAGAGUGUGACAUGUUUGUCACGGUGGGCGACAUUGGCAUCUGUCACGCAACCUUUGGCAACGCUUGCAAUAACCCUCUCCGUUCCAGAGAGUAUGAGACAAAAAGAGACUUUGAAAACGAGAGAGGUGUGUCCUAGUCGGAGUGCACAAGCUUGAGGGCUGCAGUGCUCACAGCAACCUGUCCUGUCUGAAUAAAUCCAAGGAUAAAGGCCUGAAGUUUUAAAAUGACAAAAGAAUCAAAAUGAUCUUCCCUUCCGAAUUCAUGGAAAUGGAGAGGGGGAGGAGGGCUCCUGUCAGGAGGGAGGCAUGGAGCGCUGGUCAGUAUAUCAGGGAGUUUUAAUUAACAGCUCAGUGAUGAGGAUUGAAACAGCCCUCAUGCCGUUUACCACUCUACGGGACCGGAUCAAACCAAACUGUAGCGCAGAGGGGUUGGACUGCUCCACUCAGCCAUCUAUAAAAGACUGGCACUGAAAUCAGGGGCAUUUGCAUACGGUACAGAUGACUUUACAUCAUGAUACUGAUCCUUGGAGUCCGUGGAGUAAUGGAAGUCACCGGAGAGCUGCUGAAUAACUGUGCUGAAGUAGGAAUUACAGAUCCUGGAUCUACGGAAAUGAGGGUGGUGUAUGAAGCUGUGUUUGCCUGCGGCAGAUCCCCCUGGCAGUCUCUGAGAGCUGCCAUCUUCUUCUGCCAGCCCUCCAUUAGGCCUGUAAGGUGUGUCAGUCAGCGCUCGUACACAGGGGCUUAUGGGAAGACUGCGGGGAAGUGAGGAGUGAACGUGACAGCGAAUGGUGAACGGUCUUUCAAGCUCCGAAAAGGAUGAAGAAAAGACAAGAUGAAAGAGUGAUUCAGUUUGAAUCGCCUACUCUGUCAGAUGGCCUGAGUCCUUCAUGAAGUCUGUAAUAAUCCAUCACGCAGGACUAUCAAGGCCAUAAUCGUCCAACACUAAUCGUCAGUAACGUGUUCAUUGUUCAAACUGGAGUCGGACACUGAUGGAGAGACUCAGGAAGAAGUUACAACUUAUAGAAUGCAACUGGACACUUCUGAAUGGCCUUCUGGAUAUGUCUCUGUCUUCACGGAGGGACUGGAAGUAGCAUGAAAGGAGAAGCUGUCUUGUGGUUCUUGAUGGCUGUACACUAAUUGCUGACCCUAACAGGUCCAAUUAGAAGCUACACGCGCCCCGCGCGGGCCCAGGGGACUACACAUCCCGGCAUGCCGAGCACUGACACUCUCAGAGUGACAUGAACAAGACAGCAACCAGACGUUCCCCUUUCUUCUUUUUCCCACCAUGCUUUUCUCCAUCGUAAGUAACGGGCUAAUUUGUGAGGGCUGAGAGGCACAUCCAAGUGACUUUUUAUGGGCCACAGAUACAGAUGCAUUUGCAGUUGGAGUUUUUGGCGCUUUAUUAUAAACAGAGAUUAUGACAUUUGUAAGUAUCAAUAGUUAAAAGUAAAAUUGUGAUAUAGGAUUCUAUCUAAGGCCUGGGACACACUAGACGAUUUUCAAAUCUUAACCGAUUUUAAAACAAUGUGAGACCACAGCCAUAAGGACAGUUUCAACCGAUUAUUUAUUUAUUUAUUUAUUUUUGGUCAGAGGCAGCCCGAUCAAGAGUGUAAAUCAAACGUAUUUGAUAUUUACAAUUUGGGAUUGGGGAGGCUCUGACUCGAUUAGGAGCAGUAAAAUAAUCAUAAUGACACCACACAGUUGAGAAUUAUUUUGGACAAAAAGUCAGUUCAACAAGCCUUGAACCGGGCUCGAAUCGAAACCUCCCCAAUUCAUUGGGUGAUGCAAAUCGGGCCAAAUAUCGGGUUUAAAAUCGUCAAGUGUGUGGACAGCAUCAAGUUAGUGAUACAGGUUCUGGAACUAUACGAUUUUUUGUUGCACCUAUAUAUAUAAUAUAAUAUAAUAUAAUAUAAUAUAAUAUAAUAUAAUAUAAUAUAAUAUAAUAUAAUAUAAUAUAAUAUAAUAUAAUAUAAUAUAAUAUAAUAUAAUAUAAUAUAAUAUAAUAUAAUAUAAUAUAAUAUAAUAUAAUAUAAUAUAAUAAUAUCCUGCCACCCUAUGUAGAACAAGUGGUUUGGGCAAUAGGUGGAAAAUAUAAUAUAUCAUAUAAUCCAGCCAUCUAUUCU